UAAAUAGAAUUUAUGAAUUUUAAGUAAUAAAUAUAUAAUUAACGUAUAUUUAUUUUAUUUUAAGUACGUUCUAAAUAUUUAACGAUUUUUGAACUUUAUUAUAUUUAUAUAUCAAAUGUAUAUUUAAUUUUAUUUAAAUAUAUUCUAAAUAUUUUAACGGGUUGUGCAAUCAAAAAUGAUGUUUGAAUUUUAAGUUGAAAAGAAUUCGAAUUACGAAAAUCGAUUGAAUUUAGAAAACGAUCCUAUUCGGUUUUAGAUUCAAAUCCUAAAACUAAUAUCCUAAGUCUAGCCCAAAUGGGUAAAGCCCAAUAAUAUAAACCAAUAAACCCCAUACUCCCUUCCUCCUUAACUUCACGUGAAAACAAAAGAAAAAAAAAAAAAAAAAAACCCUCAUCCUUCUCCUUCACGUGAACCACCCUACUCCUCUUGAUUUCGCACCACCGUACUCUUUGUAGCCGUCGCCGCCAACCACCGUCGGACCUCCGCCCCUGCGCCACCGCCCUUCGCCGUACCCUCUGUAUCGCCGCCGCCGAAAGGACCAGCCACCGCCCUCCUUCAUCUCUCCACUUGUUGCUUCUCUGUUUCUUGCUCAGCCACGUGCAACCACCACCGCGACCACCUGCAGCCACCUGCUGCGUCGCCUAGCUCCGCGACCGCCCAGCUCCCUCCGCCGCUCAACUCCCUCGCUGCCGCCGCCCCUGCCGCCGGCCAGCUCUCUCUCUCUUCUCUUUUUGGCGGAGAAUUCUUUGUAGGCGAUUUUUGAAUUCGUUAAAGUGGCCUAUCAGUUUGUUUACACAAGUCUCUAAGGAUCAAUAAGCAUUGUCCAUUUGCAGGUUUGAAGAGGUUGCAUCAUUGGGAUCGGGAAUAGAGAGCUUGUAUUUAGUUUUGAAUUGCUAAGUUAACUUGGGUUUGUUAAUUGGGACUUUAAACUUGUCGUACUAUUUAUAUUUCCUUAUUUUCGUUGGAUGAUUUUUGGGGACUAAAUCUGUAAUCGAUUAUUUAUAAACCUAA